AACGAACGCUGGCGGCAGGCCUAACACAUGCAAGUCGAGCGAGCCCUUCGGGGUGAGCGGCGGACGGGUGAGUAACGCGUGGGAACGUGCACUUCUCUGCGGCAUAGCUACGGGAAACUGAGAGUAAUACCGCAUACGCGCUAUGGGGGAAAGAUAUAUCGAAGAAGGAUCGGCACGAGUGGAAUUCGGUAGUUGGUGGGGUAAUGGCCCACCAAGCCGACGAUCCAUAGCUGGGUUGAGAGGAUGAUCAGCCACACUGGGACUGAGACACGGCCCAGCCUCCUACGGGAGGCAGCAGUGGGGAAUCUUAGACAAUGGGGGCAACCCUGAUCGAGCCAUGCCGCGUGAGUGAUGAAGGCCUUAGGGUUGUAAAGCUCUUUCAGCUGGGAAGAUAAUGACGGUACCAGCAGAAGAAGCCCCGGCUAACUCCGUG
rnacentral:rRNA from 1 species